rnacentral:rRNA from 1 species
UUGACCUCGAAUCAGGUAGGAAUACCCGCUGAACUUAAGCAUAUCAAUAAGCGGAGGAAAAGAAACCAACAGGGAUUGCCCCAGUAACGGCGAGUGAAGCGGCAACAGCUCAAAUUUGAAAUCUGGCCCCCCGGGGCCCGAGUUGUAAUUUGCAGAGGAUGCUUUUGGCGAGGCGCCUUCCGAGUUCCCUGGAACGGGACGCCAUAGAGGGUGAGAGCCCCGUCUGGUCGGACGCCGAGCCUCUGUAAAGCUCCUUCGACGAGUCGAGUAGUUUGGGAAUGCUGCUCUAAAUGGGAGGUACAUGUCUUCUAAAGCUAAAUACCGGCCAGAGACCGAUAGCGCACAAGUAGAGUGAUCGAAAGAUGAAAAGCACUUUGAAAAGAGGGUUAAACAGUACGUGAAAUUGUUGAAAGGGAAGCGCCUGUGACCAGACUUGCGCCCGUCGGAUCACCCAGCGUUCUCGCUGGUGCACUCCGGCGGGCGCAGGCCAGCAUCAGCUCGUCUCGGGGGACAAAGGCGGCGGGAACGUGGCUCCUCCGGGAGUGUUAUAGCCCGCCGCGCAAUGCCCUGGGGCGGGCUGAGGACCGCGCGUAAGCAUGGAUGCUGGCGUAAUGGUCAUCAGCGACCCGUCUUGAAACACGGACCAA